UGGGGAAUUUUCCGCAAUGGGCGAAAGCCUGACGGAGCAAUACCGCGUGAGGGAGGAAGGCUCUUGGGUUGUAAACCUCUUUUCUCAGGGAAGAACAGAAUGACGGUACCUGAGGAAUAAGCAUCGGCUAACUCCGUGCCAGCAGCCGCGGUAAUACGGAGGAUGCAAGCGUUAUCCGGAAUGAUUGGGCGUAAAGGGUCCGCAGGUGGCAUUGUAAGUCUGCUGUUAAAGAGUUUGGCUCAACCAAAUAAGAGCAGUGGAAACUACAAAGCUAGAGUGUGGUCGGGGCAGAGGGAAUUCCUGGUGUAGCGGUGAAAUGCGUAGAUAUCAGGAAGAACACC
rnacentral:rRNA from 1 species